CAAGAAGCGAAGCUCGAUGGUCAGCAACGACAGGACACGGCUGCUAUUCCGCUUCUUUCCGCUCGGACCAGCCCACUACCGGCCCACUACUGAAGUGAAACCACCCUCCGCCGCCGCCGCCGCUCGCCGUAGUCACCUCCGCCGCCACCCUCUCUUCCCAGUGCUACCUCCCCGCCCCGCCGCUUUGCCGCCUCCGGCUGAGGCGAAUUUCCAGUAUCCAAGCCAGUCGGACAUAAGUAAGGGCGGGGAGGAAGCCGUGCCUGCGAGUUUCGACCAUGGAAGGAGGCGGCGAGCGCGCGGCGGAGGCGGAGGAGUACCACUGCCACGACUUCGAGUGGGAGGACCUCCGGGCGGAGGUGGAAGCCAACCCUGCCUUCUCCUACCACCUCUCCCCAUUUCCCACGACCGUCGGCACCCCGGAGACGCCGCCGCCGCCGCCGCCCUCGGAGGCCUGGACGAGCUUCCACCGUCGCCACACAUGCGGCAAGUUUUUCAAGGAAAGAAGGUAUUUGCUAAAGGAAUUUCCAGAACUUCUUAACAGCAAGGAUAGUGCAAAGGUUUUAGAGGUGGGUUGUGGGAAUGGAAGCACUGUUGUUCCCAUUUUACGCUCUAGUCCAAGCACAACUGUAUAUGCUUGUGAUUGUAGCAAAGAAACUCUGGAGAAGGCAAAUGAGAUUGUUUGCAGCACAAAAGGAGUUGAAGUCAAGGAUAGGUUCCAUCCUUUUUUACUGGAUGCUUCGAAGGAAACUUUUCCAGAUUGGUUGUUCUGCAAAUCCUGUCGAAGUCCAUGCUCAAGUAAUUGUAAUAUGAUAGAAGAAUACCCUGCCUUUCUCAGAGACAAUCCAUGUUGUGUUGAUGGUGUGGAUUUUAUCACUAUGAUAUUCACAUUAUCAGCCAUACCUUUUGACAAUAUGCUAGCUACACUAGAGCGUUGUGUAUCUGUUCUAAAACCAGGUGGCCUUGUUUUGUUUAGGGACUACGGACUCUAUGACAUGACAAUGCUUCGGUUUUUACCUCACCAAAGAGUGGGAUUCCGGGAAUACAUGCGCUCAGAUGGCACCCUUUCAUACUUCUUCACAUUAGAUACAGUGAGAGAACUCUUUCAUGCCUCUGGACUACUAGAGUCCAGAGAGCUUCUUAGGAGUGUGAAUGAAAUGGGGCAUGCCCUCCGAUCUCCAAGGGGUGGUAAGGAUACGGAGAACAAACUUCGCAAUGUCUUAGAGUUAGCCAAAGGUGCCGCAAACUUGCUGCAAGAUUAGGUUGCAGGUCCGUUGGAUUGGACGACGUGUACCAACUGCGGAGAGUAUCACUACCACUACCUUAAUCCGUGCGUCCAAGUACCGCUCGACACUCCAUCAGGAUAGAAGAGCGUGAACAAGUUGGUGGUUUGUCAUCGUCACGCAUUCCACAGGGAAGGGGAAAGGGGAAGGCACAGGCUCCACCUAGCGGCGACGAUGAGGAGGAGGAUGAGGGCUACAUCACACCAGACGUCGAGGAGAUAGGCAUGUCGCAACUUCCCGAUGCGCCUCAUGCGUCACAGCCUACCCAAUACAACUUACGAUCCACUCGGCCAGCGAAAAAGAGAUAUACUCAGGGCUUGCAAGCUAUUCGGCGCCAACGGAAAAAGUGAUUUCUACGAAGUUGAUCUUUGUAUCAUGUGUUAACUUGUUUCACAGACUUUUGGAUUUGUUGGUUGUAUGAAGUAUGUGAUGGACUUGUAGUAUUGUUUGAUGUGUGGAAUGUGUGAUGGAGUUGUGGACUUUUUUCGUCAAUCUAGUUAGCUUGUGGACUAUGCGAUAUGUGAUUUGGUGUCAAUAUUUGCUGUGGAACCUGUUUUGUCGAUA